rnacentral:siRNA from 1 species
UUAAUACGUCGAAUCCCCAG